GACGAACGCUGGCGGCGUGCUUAACACAUGCAAGUCGAACGGGCCUGCCUGGCUUUGGUUGGGUGGGUGAGUGGCGAACGGGUGAGUAACACGUGAGUAACCUGCCCUCUUCUCUUGGAUAACUGCUUGAAAGGGCGGCUAAUACGGGAUGUUCUGGCUGCCUCGCAUGGGGUGGUUUGGAAAGAUUCGGCCUGGUUUUGGUUGUUUUGGUGGGGGAUGGGCUCGCGGCUUAUCAGCUUGUUGGUGGGGUGAUGGCCUACCAAGGCGGUGACGGGUAGCCGGCCUGAGAGGGUGGACGGUCACACUGGGACUGAGACACGGCCCAGACUCCUCGGGAGGCAGCAGUGGGGGAUUUUGCACAAUGGGCGCAAGCCUGAUGCAGCGACGCCGCGUGAGGGAUGGAGGCCUUCGGGUUGUGAACCUCUGUCGCCGGUGAUGUAGGCUCUGCUUUGUGG
rnacentral:rRNA from 1 species